rnacentral:rRNA from 1 species
UAACGGCGAGUGAAGCGGCAACAGCUCAAAUUUGAAAUCUGGCGUCUACGGCGUCCGAGUUGUAAUUUGUAGAGGAUGCUUCUGGGCAGCCACCGGUCUAAGUUCCUUGGAACAGGACGUCAUAGAGGGUGAGAAUCCCGUAUGCGACCGGACAGGCGCCCUCCACGUAGCUCCUUCGACGAGUCGAGUUGUUUGGGAAUGCAGCUCUAAAUGGGAGGUAAAUUUCUUCUAAAGCUAAAUACCGGCCAGAGACCGAUAGCGCACAAGUAGAGUGAUCGAAAGAUGAAAAGUACUUUGGAAAGAGAGUUAAAAAGCACGUGAAAUUGUUGAAAGGGAAGGGUUUGCAACCAGACUUGCUCGCGGUGUUCCGCCGGUCUUUUGACCGGUCUAUUCGCCGCGUUGCAGGCCAGCAUCGUCUGGGGCCGCCGGAUAAGACUUUGGGAAUGUAGCUCCCUCGGGAGUGUUAUAGCCCUUUGUGAUGCGGUGAGUCCCGGGCGAGGUCCGCGCUUCGGCUAGGAUGCUGGCGUAAUGGUUGUAAACCGCCCGUCUUGAAACACGGACCAAGGAGUCUAGCAUCUAUGCGAGUGUUCGGGUGUCAAACCCCUACGCGUAAUGAAAGUGAACGGAGGUGGGAACUUUUUGUGCACCAUCGACCGAUCCUGAUGUCUUCGGAUGGAUUUGAGUAAGAGCAUAGCUGUUGGGACCCGAAAGAUGGUGAACUAUGCCUGAAUAGGGUGAAGCCAGAGGAAACUCUGGUGGAGGCUCGCAGCGGUUCUGACGUGCAAAUCGAUCGUCAAAUUUGGGUAUAGGGGCGAAAGA